CUCGUGAACAAAGAAUUGAGCAGUACCACAAGAUCCCUGGAGUUCCUCCUGUAGUGGGCUUGCGAGAAGAUUGCCUGCUGCAUAUUGAAGGAGAUAAAAUAACACUUAAAGGAAAGUCUUGUGUGCGUAUAUUUUCACCGGGAAAAAAUCCUGAAGAGCAUGAAGCAGGAUCCAACCUAAGUUUUCUGUUGAAAACUAUAUGACAUGUUCUUCAUUUAAACAUGUUAUCUGUGAUGAAAUUGGGAUGUUUGUUGCUGUAUGCCUUGUAGUAAUAUUUUAAUAAAAUUACACACUUUAUUAUGGCUUUAGAGAA